GGUUGCAAGGAUGAACUGGCUGUGAUGUGUCACCCCAUUGAUCACCUCAGUUGAUUUGGCUGAUCUAGCUGGCUCUGUGGGAGUCUGCUUCCUCCCUCACCACUCCAGGUGCUUCUCUUUGAAGUUGUGUACUUGGUUGAAAAGGAUGACCUUCCCAGAUAGAGGAGGAUGAUCUUUGGUCAAGGUGUAAGAAUAGAUGUGGUACUCUGCUAGAACCUCUGAACAAGUUCUCAAGAAAGCAGUCCCAGCGAGGGAAAGGAGCCAGGUUUGGUGGAACAUGCUUGAAAUUCUAGCAUUCAGGAGGCUGAAGCAGGAGGAUCACUGCAAGUUAGAUGCCAGCU
ensembl:misc_RNA 7SK 7SK RNA